CAGCCGCCGCGGGAAUACAGAGGGUGCAAGCGUUAAUCGGAAUUACUGGGCGUAAAGCGCGCGUAGGUGGUUCGUUAAGUUGGAUGUGAAAUCCCCGGGCUCAACCUGGGAACUGCAUUCAAAACUGACGAGCUAGAGUGUGGUAGAGGGUGGUGGAAUUCCCGGUGUAGCGGUGAAAUGCGUAGAGAUCGGGAGGAAUACCGGUGGCGAAGGCGGCCCCCUGGACGAAGACUGACGCUCAGGUACGAAAGCGUGGGGAGCAAACAGGAUUAGAUACCCCGGUAGUCCCUGUCUCUUAUAC
rnacentral:rRNA from 1 species